rnacentral:rRNA from 1 species
UACGUAGGGUCCGAGCGUUGUCCGGAAUUAUUGGGCGUAAAGAGCUCGUAGGCGGUGUGUCGCGUCGGCCGUGAAAACCUGCAGCUUAACUGUGGGCGUGCGGUCGAUACGGGCAUCACUGGAGUUCGGCAGGGGAGACUGGAAUUCCUGGUGUAGCGGUGAAAUGCGCAGAUAUCAGGAGGAACACCCGGUGGGCGAAGGCGGGUCUCUGGGCCGAUACUGAC